AUUGAACGCUGGCGGCAUGCUUUACACAUGCAAGUCGAACGGCAGCACGGGGGCAACCCUGGUGGCGAGUGGCGAACGGGUGAGUAAUAUAUCGGAACGUACCCGGAAAUGGGGGAUAACGUAGCGAAAGUUACGCUAAUACCGCAUAUGCCCUAAGGGGGAAAGCGGGGGAUUCGCAAGAACCUCGCGUUUUCGGAGCGGCCGAUAUCGGAUUAGCUAGUAGGUGAGGUAAAGGCUCACCUAGGCGACGAUCCGUAGCUGGUCUGAGAGGACGACCAGCCACACUGGAACUGAGACACGGUCCAGACUCCUACGGGAGGCAGCAGUGGGGAAUUUUGGACAAUGGGCGCAAGCCUGAUCCAGCCAUGCCGCGUGAGUGAAGAAGGCCUC
rnacentral:rRNA from 1 species